CCCUCAAAUGACUACGAAGUCAUCUCAUUUCUCCUUGCUGGUUUGGGCACUGAGUAUGAUUCAUUUGUCACCUUAGUCACGACUCAUGUAGAGCCCCUCUCUCUUGAAGAUAUAUAUGGUCAUCUCUUAGCUUAUGAG